UACGUAGGGUGCGAGCGUUAAUCGGAAUUACUGGGCGUAAAGCGUGCGCAGGCGGUGAUGUAAGACAGGUGUGAAAUCCCCGGGCUUAACCUGGGAAUUGCAUUUGUGACUGCAUCGCUGGAGUGCGGUAGAGGGGGAUGGAAUUCCGCGUGUAGCAGUGAAAUGCGUAGAUAUGCGGAGGAACACCGAUGGCGAAGGCAAUCCCCUGGGCCUGUACUGACGCUCAUGCACGAAAGCGUGGGGAGCAAACAGG
rnacentral:rRNA from 1 species